rnacentral:rRNA from 1 species
UACGUAGGGUGCGAGCGUUAAUCGGAAUUACUGGGCGUAAAGCGUGCGCAGGCGGUUUUGUAAGUCCGCUGUGAAAUCCCCGGGCUUAACCUGGGAAUGGCAUUUGGGACUGCAAGGCUUGAGUGCGGCAGAGGAGACUGGAAUUCCUGGUGUAGCAGUGAAAUGCGUAGAUAUCAGGAGGAACACCGAUGGCGAAGGCAGGUCUCUGGGCUGACACUGACGCUCAUGCACGAAAGCGUGGGGAGCAAACAGG